CGUAAUGUAGUUCAGUGAUAGAACGCUCAACUGAUAAUUGAGAAGUCGGAAGUUUGAUUCUUCCCAUUACGACCA
rnacentral:tRNA from 1 species